ACGCACGCUGGCGGCAUGCCUCACACAUGCACGUCGAACGAGACCUUCGGGUCUAGUGGCGCACGGGUGCGUAACGCGUGGGAACCUGCCCUUAGGUUCGGAAUAACUCCCCGAAAGGGGUGCUAAUACCGGAUAAUGUCUUCGGACCAAAGAUUUAUCGCCUUUGGAUGGGCCCGCGUUGGAUUAGCUAGUUGGUAGGGUAAAAGCCUACCAAGGCGACGAUCCAUAGCUGGUCUGAGAGGAUGAUCAGCCACACUGGGACUGAGACACGGCCCAGACUCCUACGGGAGGCAGCAGUGGGGAAUAUUGGACAAUGGGCGAAAGCCUGAUCCAGCAAUGCCGCGUGAGUGAUGAAGGCCUUAGGGUUGUAAAGCUCUUUUACCCGGGAUGAUAAUGACAGUACCGGGAGAAUAAGCUCCGGCUAACUCCGUG
rnacentral:rRNA from 1 species